GGCCCGUUAGCUCAGUCCGGUUAGAGUACCACACUCUUAAUGUGGGUGCCAAGGGUUCAAAUCCCUUACGGGCCA
rnacentral:tRNA from 1 species